rnacentral:misc_RNA from 1 species
CGUCAUUACACCCCUCGAGCCCUGCUCGGUGUUGGGGGCCGUCCCCCGGGACGCUCCCGAAAAUCAGCGGCGAUGCGGCCGGUCCUCGAGCGCAGUCAAACGUUUCCGUUCCGCUGCGAGGCCCGGGGCGCGUCCGCCGGACAACCCCCCCAAUCUCCACGAUUGACCUCGGAUCAGGUAGGGAUACCCGCUGAACUUAA